GUGGACCUCGGAUCAGGCAGGGUUACCCGCUGAACUUAAGCAUAUCAAUAA
rnacentral:rRNA from 1 species